rnacentral:other from 1 species
UUGUCCCUGCUGUGUUCGCGAGAGGUCAAAUAUUCUCAGAACCAAUGCUUAUGGCAUACAUAGGCUGUGGGAUAGCAUGACGGGAGUGCGUGUCUCUAGUAGAUGCGCUCAAAGUCUGCAGAUCGCGGCCAACUUGAACUUACGGUUCGAGAUGCCGGCCUUAACGGCACGAGCGGGGCAUUU